rnacentral:piRNA from 1 species
UGCUAAUUCAUGCUGCCUUCUUG